rnacentral:rRNA from 1 species
GACGUAGGGCGCGAGCGUUGUCCGGAUUUAUUGGGCGUAAAGAGCUCGUAGGCGGCUCGUUGCGUCAACCGUGAAAACCCGGGGCUUAACUUCGGGCUUGCGGUUGAUACGGGCGGGCUGGAGUUCGGUAGGGGAGACUGGAAUUCCUGGUGUAGCGGUGAAAUGCGCAGAUAUCAGGAGGAACACCGGUGGCGAAGGCGGCAUCCUGGACCGGUAUUGACGCUGAGGCGCGAAAGCUAGGGGAGCAAACGGG